GAGUUUGAUCGUGGCUCAGAUUGAACGCUGGCGGCAUGCCUUACACAUGCAAGUCGAACGGCAGCACGGGGGCAACCCUGGUGGCGAGUGGCGAACGGGUGAGUAAUACAUCGGAACGUGUCCUGUAGUGGGGGAUAGCCCGGCGAAAGCCGGAUUAAUACCGCAUACGACCUAAGGGAGAAAGCGGGGGAUCUUCGGACCUCGCGCUAUAGGGGCGGCCGAUGGCAGAUUAGCUAGUUGGUGGGGUAAAGGCCUACCAAGGCGACGAUCUGUAGCUGGUCUGAGAGGACGACCAGCCACACUGGGACUGAGACACGGCCCAGACUCCUACGGGAGGCAGCAGUGGGGAAUUUUGGACAAUGGGGGCAACCCUGAUCCAGCAAUGCCGCGUGUGUGAAGAAGGCCUUCGGUUGUAAG
rnacentral:rRNA from 2 species